GGGCCGGUAGCUCAGCUUGGCUGGAGCGUUCGGCUGAUAACCGAAAGGUCGAGAGUUCAAAUCUCUCCCGGCCCA
rnacentral:tRNA from 1 species